CAGUCGCCACGGGAAUACGAAGGGUGCAAGCGUUAAUCGGAAUUACUGGGCGUAAAGCGUGCGUAGGCGGUUUGUUAAGUCUGUUGUGAAAUCCCCGGGCUCAACCUGGGAAUGGCAAUGGAUACUGGCAAGCUAGAGUGUGUCAGAGGAUGGUGGAAUUCCCGGUGUAGCGGUGAAAUGCGUAGAGAUCGGGAGGAACAUCAGUGGCGAAGGCGGCCAUCUGGGACAACACUGACGCUGAGGCACGAAAGCGUGGGGAGCAAACAGGAUUAGAUACCCCGGUAGUCCCUGUCUCUUAUAC
rnacentral:rRNA from 1 species